GAUGAACGCUGGCGGCGUGCCUAAUACAUGCAAGUCGAGCGAACAGACGAGGAGCUUGCUCCUCUGACGUUAGCGGCGGACGGGUGAGUAACACGUGGAUAACCUACCUAUAAGACUGGGAUAACUUCGGGAAACCGGAGCUAAUACCGGAUAAUAUAUUGAACCGCAUGGUUCAAUAGUGAAAGACGGUUUUGCUGUCACUUAUAGAUGGAUCCGCGCCGCAUUAGCUAGUUGGUAAGGUAACGGCUUACCAAGGCAACGAUGCGUAGCCGACCUGAGAGGUGGAUCGGCCACACUGGAACUGAGACACGGUCCAGACGCCUAAGGGAGGCAGCAGUAGGGAAUCUGCCGCAAUGGGCGAAAGCCUGACGGAGCAACGCCGCGUGAGUGAUGAAGGUCUUCGGAUCGUAAAACUCUGUUAUUAGGGAAGAACAAAUGUGUAAGUAACUAUGCACGUCUUGACGGUACCUAAUCAGAAAGCCACGGCUAACUACGUG
rnacentral:rRNA from 1 species